rnacentral:rRNA from 1 species
UCUAGAGUUUGAUCCUGGCUCAGGAUGAACGCUAGCGAUAGGCUUAACACAUGCAAGUCGAGGCAGCAGUUGGAUCUAGCAAUAUGAUUGCUGGCGACCGGCGCACGGGUGAGUAACACGUAUCCAACCUGCCGAUAACUCGGGGAUAGCCUUUCGAAAGAGAUUAAUACCCGAUGGUAUAAUCAGACCGCAUGGUUUGAUUAUUAAACGAAUAUCGGUUAUCGAUGGGGAUGCGUUCCAUUAGGCAGUUGGUGAGGUAACGGCUCACCAAACCUACGAUGGAUAGGCGUUCUGAGAGGAAGGUCCCCACACUGGAACUGAGACACGGUCCAGACUCCUACGGAGGCAGCAGUGAGGAAUAUUGGUCAAUGGGCGUGAGCCUGAACCAGCCAAAUCGCGUGAAGGAUGACGGCCCUAUGGGUUGUAAACUUCUAUACAGGGGAAUAAAGUGCUCCACGUGUGGAGUUUGUAUGUACCUUGUGAAUAAAAGCAUCGGCUAACUCCGUGCCAGCAGCCGCGGUAAUACGGAGGAUGCGAGCGUUAUCCGGAUUUAUUGGGUUUAAGGUGCGUAGGCGGAUAGUUAAGUCAGCGGUGAAAGUUUCGGCUCAACCGGAAAAUUGCCGUGUGUGAAACUGUCUGUUCUUGAGUGCAGAAGAGGUAGGCGGAAUUCGUUGUGUAGCGGUGAAAUGCGUAGAUAUCACGAAGAACACCGAUUGCGUAGGCAGCUCACUGGACUGCAACUGACACUGAUGCUCGAAAGUGUGGGUAUCAACAGGAUUAGAUACCCUGGUAGUCCACCCAGUAAACGAUGAAUACUAGCUGUUUGCGAUAUACAGCAAGCGGCCGAGCGAAGCAUUAAGUAUUCCACCUGGGGAGUACGCCGGCAACGGUGAAACUCAAAGGAAUUGACGGGCCCGCACAAGCGGAGGAACAUGUGGUUUAAUUCGAUGAUACGCGAGGAACCUUACCCGGGCCCUUGAAUUGCAUCUGAAUGUAGUGGAAACAUUACAGCUGCAAUAGCAGAUGUGAAGGUGCUGCAUGGUUGUCGUCAGCUCGUGCCGUGAGGUGUCGGCUUAAGUGCCAUAACGAGCGCAACCCUCAUCACUAGUUACCAUCAGGUCAAGCUGGACUCUAGUGAGACUGCCGGCGUAAGCUGUGAGGAAGGUGGGGAUGACGUCAAAUCGAGCACGGCCCUUACGUCCGCGCGACACACGUGUUACAAUGGAGGGUACAGCGAGAAGCUACCUGGCGACUAGGAUGCCAAUCCCAAAAGCCUCUCUCAGUUCGGAUCGGAGUCUGCAACUCGACUUCGUGAAGCUGGAUUCGCUAGUAAUCGCGCAUCAGCCAUGACGCGGUGAAUACGUUCCCGGGCCUUGUACACACCGCCCGUCAAGCCAUGAAAGCCGGGAGUGCCUGAAGUCCGUGACCGCGAGGAUCGGCCUAGGGCAAUACUGGUAAUUGGGCUAAGUCGUAACAAGGUAGCCGUA